AUUGAACGCUGGCGGCGUGCCUAAUACAUGCAAGUCGAGCGAACAGAUGAGAAGCUUGCUUCUCUGAUGUUAGCGGCGGACGGGUGAGUAACACGUGGGUAACCUACCUAUAAGACUGGGAUAACUCCGGGAAACCGGGGCUAAUACCGGAUAAUAUUUUGAACCGCAUGGUUCAAUAGUGAAAGACGGUUUCGGCUGUCACUUAUAGAUGGACCCGCGCCGUAUUAGCUAGUUGGUAAGGUAACGGCUUACCAAGGCGACGAUACGUAGCCGACCUGAGAGGGUGAUCGGCCAAACUGGAACUGAGACACGGUCCAGACUCCUACGGGAGGCAGCAGUAGGGAAUCUUCCGCAAUGGGCGAAAGCCUAACGGAGCAACGCCGCGUGAGUGAUGAAGGUCUUCGGAUCGUAAAACUCUGUUGUUAGGGAAGAACAAAUUUGUUAGUAACUGAACAAGUCUUGACGGUACCUAACCAGAAAGCCACGGCUAACUACGUGCCAGCCGCCGCCGUAA
rnacentral:rRNA from 1 species